UAGAAUUAUAAAGAACAUACAAUGAAUAGAGGAAAAGGAGAAUAUAGCUUAAAGCAGGGCAUGAUGAAAUUGAGGGGUUAAUUAUACAAUAAUGCCAAUACUAAUUUACUAAUGUUUAAUAACACAGUGUCUAAUAUAAUGCAGACACUAAAAACGGGAACUGGUAGACAAGAGAGCAGGUCAGGAGGACCUUGUUCCCGACAGUAAGAGAACAGGAACCGAUCAUGUAGCUGACACUUAUUUUUACUCUUUUCUGGGAACAGGCACACACACUAACUAGAGUAAAUAUCAAUGUAUGUGGUAGUCACGUAGAUGGAAAAGUACAGAAAAGGGGGGCCACACCCCAAAAGGCCUAUAAAGAUCUAGAGCCGACCCAUAUGGGUCGAGCAUCUUCUUGUACAUGCUGAAUGUAUGUCGGAUGUUUGCUCCCAGAUUGCGCAAUCUGUCAGAGAAUAAACUGGUGACUUGCAACCACUCCUCAACUGUGCAGUGAAUCUCUUCUCAUCAACGGACCCGGCGGAGUUCUGACUCCAACAAUUUGGGGGCUCGACAGGGAUGAGCAGGAGAUCUGCAAGAUUCGGCUAAGUGUUGACGAAGCCCACUUGGACACAGAGAACUGCGGGGCCCGAUUAGAAGAGAUUUCUCCAAACAGAUCCAGGAGGCGAGACCUGGGAAUCAGGCACCCGAACCACACACGGCAGAGUGGGUCCUCCUGAAAGUCAUCAAACGGAAGUGGUCAGAGCCCAGGUGGACCGGCCCCUUCCGAGUUACUGAAAGGACGUCACACGCAGUUCGUCUAAAAGGGAAAUGGUGACACGUGGUUCCAUUGGAGCCAGUGUGCAGCUGCAGAGGAGCCAGGCAGGACCACAGCAGAGAUCCAGAAUGACCUCGGAGAAGACACACAGAGCGUCAGUUCGGCUGAACCAGACGCAACUCAGGUCUCUACAGAAGGGCAGAAUAAUCCCUUGACCUGAGCAGAUCAGCAGGGUAGUCCACCCCUGACUGAUUGAAGAAGGCAACAUCUCAUCCAUCGCAGAUCAGCAGGACAACGAUGCAGAGAGUCAGGAUGAACAGGGGAAUUAAGGGGGGAACUAAUGUAUUGUGUGUAAUGCUUAAAUUGUUAAUGAUUAUGUUGUUUUCCAUUGUCCAGACCGGAGAAGCCACCCAUCCCGAGUGCGUAGGAUCAGGGGGAAGCAAAACUUUCAUAACAUUAUUUGCCUAUAAUCAGGGUGAUCUCCUAUCGGAGAUCAAAAGGGGGAAUUGCGGGAUUCAAUAGAAUUAUAAAGAACAUACAAUGAAUAGAGGAAAAGGAGAAUAUAGCUUAAAGCAGGGCAUGAUGAAAUUGAGGGGUUAAUUAUACAAUAAUGCCAAUACUAAUUUACUAAUGUUUAAUAACACAGUGUCUAAUAUAAUGCAGACACUAAAAACGGGAACUGGUAGACAAGAGAGCAGGUCAGGAGGACCUUGUUCCCGACAAUAACAGGAACCGAUCAUGUAGCUGACACUUAUUUUUACUCUUUUCUGGGAACAGGCACACACACUAACUAGAGUAAAUAUCAACGUAUGUGGUAGUCACGUAGGUGGAAAAGUACAGAAAAGGGGGGCCACACCCCAAAAGGCCUAUAAAGAUCUAGAGCCGACCCAUAUGGGUCGAGCAUCUUCUUGUACAUGCUGAAUGUAUGUCGGAUGUUUGCUCCCAGAUUGCGCAAUCUGUCAGAUUAUAAACUGGUGACUUGCAACCA